AUUGAACGCUGGCGGCAGGCUUAACACAUGCAAGUCGAACGCAUUCCUUCGGGGAUGAGUGGCAGACGGGUGAGUACCACGUGGGAACGUACCUUCCAGUUCGGAAUAACACAGGGAAACUUGUGCUAAUACCGGAUACGUCCGAGAGGAGAAAGAUUUAUUGCUGGAAGAUCGGCCCGCGUCUGAUUAGCUUGUUGGUGAGGUAAUGGCUCACCAAGGCGACGAUCAGUAGCUGGUCUGAGAGGAUGAUCAGCCACACUGGGACUGAGACACGGCCCAGACUCCUACGGGAGGCAGCAGUGGGGAAUAUUGGACAAUGGGGGAACCCUGAUCCAGCCAUGCCGCGUGUGUGAAGAAGGCCUUAUGGUUGUAAAGCACUUUUAAGCGAGGAGGAGGCUCUCUUGGUUAAUACCCAAGAUGAGUGGACGUUACUCGCAGAAUAAGCACCGGCUAGCUCUGUGCCAGCAGCCG
rnacentral:rRNA from 1 species